rnacentral:rRNA from 1 species
GAUUGAACGCUGGCGGCAGGCCUAACACAUGCAAGUCGAGCGGAUGAAGGGAGCUUGCUCCUGGAUUCAGCGGCGGACGGGUGAGUAAUGCCUAGGAAUCUGCCUGGUAGUGGGGGAUAACGUCCGGAAACGGGCGCUAAUACCGCAUACGUCCUGAGGGAGAAAGUGGGGGAUCUUCGGACCUCACGCUAUCAGAUGAGCCUAGGUCGGAUUAGCUAGUUGGUGGGGUAAAGGCCUACCAAGGCGACGAUCCGUAACUGGUCUGAGAGGAUGAUCAGUCACACUGGAACUGAGACACGGUCCAGACUCCUACGGGAGGCAGCAGUGGGGAAUAUUGGACAAUGGGCGAAGGCCUGAUCCAGCCAUGCCGCGUGUGUGAAGAAGGUCUUCGGAUUGUAAAGCACUUUAAGUUGGGAGGAAGGGCAGUAAGUUAAGACCUUGCUGUUUUGACGUUACCAACAGAAUAAGCACCGGCGAACUUCGU